AGUGAACGCUGGCGGUAGGCCUAACACAUGCAAGUCGAACGGCAGCACAGUAAGAGCUUGCUCUUACGGGUGGCGAGUGGCGGACGGGUGAGGAAUACAUCGGAAUCUACUUUUUCGUGGGGGAUAACGUAGGGAAAGUUAUGCUAAUACAGCAUACGACCUACGGGUGAAAGCAGGGGUUCUUCGGACUUUGCGCGAUUGAAUGAGCCGAUGUCGGAUUAGCUAGUUGGCGGGGUAAAGGCCCACCAAGGCGACGAUCCGUAGCUGGUCUGAGAGGAUGAUCAGCCACACUGGAACUGAGACACGGUCCAGACUCCUACGGGAGGCAGCAGUGGGGAAUAUUGGACAAUGGGCGCAAGCCUGAUCCAGCCAUACCGCGUGGGUGAAGAAGGCCUUCGGGUUGUAAAGCCCUUUUGUUGGGAAAGAAAAGCAGCAGGUUAAUACCCCGCUGUUCUGACGGUACCCAAAGAAUAAGCACCGGCUAACUUCGUG
rnacentral:rRNA from 1 species